rnacentral:misc_RNA from 1 species
GUCAUAGAGAAUAAAGAUAAAAAUAACAAUCAUUAAAGUGAAACCACCAAAAGAGAGAUACAAAAUAUGUUUCCAAGUCCAACCAUAUUUAAGUGAAUUUAGUUAUGAGUUCCUACAGGUAUACACAAUAAAAAAUGUUAAACCAAGUUAGUUCAUACUGAAGAAAUGACCAGAAGUCAACCAAUGGGCAUGCUCCAUGUAAGUGUACAUAAGACACCGAAUCAUUCUCAAUUUUUUUGCAAGAUACAACUCAAGGAAUUGAAACCAAACUUUGUCAGGUGUUGGGAGCAAAGGCGAGACAAGUGUGAUACGUA